CCUAGAUCUUGCAUCUUGUUAUCAAACGUCAAAGUCUUGUGUUCUGGUCCACAAAAUUUGCUGUUCAUUACUAAAAUAUCGCGAUUCAAAUUUUAGUUUUACAAAAAGUCACAUCUAAUAUAAUUUUUCUACAAACAUCAACUUUUUAAACUGUGUGCAAAUGUUGAAUAAUCGCAUAAUGUGCAAUGAAACUUUGAUUAGGCCAGAUCAUUGUAACUAGGAUUUGGUUACAUGAUUUUGAUACCUACACUACCAGACUGAAUAUUGAGGAAUCGAUUGAAGCGGAUUGAGGCUUGGACGGUUGGAAGAUACCAAUGAAAUAUACAUGGAGUUGAACCGAAACACAGAUGCUGAACACUUCUAAUGCAGUUCAAGGUGGCUGAUGGAGGAAUUUCACUGACUUGGGCUGCAAUGGAUGCUGGAAGGCAGCGGCACCAAUAGAAGUAAAUAUCUAAUAGCUGAUUGCUGAAUUGAAUACGAAUCUUGGAAGUGGGCUACCGCGCAGAGGAAUAUGAGGAAACUUGUACUGCUUGAGAAGACUUCGUCUCCAAUCUUCAGCGGUGGAUUACUUCACAUCUUCAUAUCGUGUAUCUAUCACCAAUCGACAAAUUUCUGCAGGAAAGGGAAUCGCCAGUCAACAUAGACUCUGGAAUUCAAUAUUACUUUGUAGAUUAUUUUAAUAUGACUUAAGUGUUACGACCAAGACAAUAAACUGACAAAGACAAUAAAUUGAGUAAUUUAUCA